GGCAAAGAUAGGCAGCACCUGUAACAACAAUUGUUUAAUCAUACAACACAUACAAAAUUUUUUUACAAUACCAGAAAAACCUGACAGAUGCUGUAAUAAUGACAGAAACUGCAGGAGUAGUUGGAUUUCACAAUCUUUUGAAGCAUCCUUCCCUUUCAAUGAUUUACUUCUGCUGUGCAAAAUGUAUCUCCAUUGAGUUGGAGACCGGUAGCAGAUGCCUUACUUACCAAAGAACAAGAUUUGUUUUUGGAUUAGUCCACCUUCCUACGUCAAGAACACAAGACAUGCUGGCUGGAGGGAGGUAAUUAUAAGGACACUGUAUUGCAAAGACCAAAGAACCUCCGUGGCUCCAGCAGUGAGUUCCGGACAGGUGCAGUUACUCUGCAGGUCUGAUGCUAGUAUAUUUGCUGACAAAGUGAUGUAUCUCUUACAUCUGUUCUCAAAUAUGCUGAGGAAGUGACCAGUCCUGCUUUCUGAGCACUCAGCUGCAGAUGGACCGGAGCUGCAAGAGUCCCUUUCAUGCUGUUCAUGGGAUUCCAAAGUAUUCUCUCUCAAAUUUACGGAAGUCUUCCUCGGUAAAGACAGUGCCCUCAGGCUUCUUUUCCUUCUUCUCUGCAGGCCGAUCUUUUGACUUCCUGCCUCUGUUCUGUGUAAGAACUUGUUGGGUGACGGCUUUGUCAGCAACGCAUCGUCCACUUGUCAUGUACAGCAAAUUUGCUUUGAGGUGAUUUACAGCUUUCUUCUUGUGAUACUCCUCUAUCGCCGACUUCACGACUCUGCCCUUGAUCGUAGCCUUGUUCUUCCCGGGCCCCGCCGUUACCUUCCUCCGCCGGGCAGCUCCUGCCGGCCUGGUGCCAUCGCGCCCCUGCUGGAGUGCCGGCGGGGCCUUCCCCUGGCCCGGUGCCUCCAGCAGCUCCAGUCCACGCCGUAUCAGCGACGCCGACAUGGCCACACAACCCUGCCACUCACCCACUUCCGGUUCUACACCGUACUUCCGCCCUCCCCUGAGGCCACUUCCGUCCUUUGAACAGCCAUACUUCCGUUUUUCCCCGAGCAGGGCGCGCAUGCGCGAAGGGAGUUGGGAGAGAGUUUAGGCGGGAAGGACGGAGCGGGGAGCCAUAUUGAGGCUCCUUGUCUUGUGGAGGCUGCCUCAGGCCAGCGCUGAUCUGGCUUUGUGUACAUCUGUAGCGCUGCAGCCUCGCUGGUGGCCCUUUCCUCUCUCCUGCCUGUGCAGUGUGUGGCCCAGCAGCGGGUCUGCAGGCUCUCUGUGGUGCACCCUCACGGAGCUUCUGCAUUGGGAACGGGCUCUAAGGGGCCCUGCCGUUGUGGUGGUGAUCACAGGGGAAGCAGUAAUUACAGGCUGAGAAGAAAGGGAGCAUCCAGCAGCGCUGUCACAUUUUGUCUCUUUGCCCCCCAAAACGGGUUUAACUCUGUGCCUGGCUCCUGAGGCACAGAGUUUUGCUCCACCAUUAAUUGCAUCUAUUAUUCAAUAUUACUUUAGCGUAUUUAUUUAAAGCUUUCCUCCCCCGUUUUUGCCUCUCCAGAGACUUCCUGCUAAUGUCUGCUAAAUUUAGCUAUCAUCUGAAUAAAGCUUAUUCAAUUAUAGCCAGCACUGGCAGUAACAAGCUGGCAGUGGAGGAGAAGAGGAGAGGUUUAUUCUCCCUCAGAUAGUGUCCCGUAGGGAGGGAGCGGUACAAGCAGUGCUUGUUGUUUCGCAUGGCAAUGAUCUCUAGUCGUGGCUGAUAGCAGUUAAACUGCGGUUCAUUAACAGGCAUCCAUUCUCUGCAGGUUGUUCUCCAGCCCCUGCAGAUGUCACCUCAGUGCCAAUCUUUUUAUCCUUAGUUCUCUUUGGAAUCUCUUGUUGGAUGGUUCCUGGCAUCCUGUGUCAGUGUCUGUCAUUCUGAUCGUGCUAAGGCAUCUUUCUGGACAAGACUGUUUUGAUGCUCAUUCAUUGGGAAAUAUUAACUGUUUGCUUCCUGUUCAGCAUGUCACUUCUCACUUGUGAUUUUCCUCUUAAAGAAAUCCAACCCCCUUUUUUUGGAUUAAUUAGGGUGGGCAAUGGCUGGGUGUGUAGCCUGAUGUGGCUCUGGGCAGCCUGGUCUAGUUGUUGGUGACCCUGCACGUAGCAGGGGGGUUGAAACUGGAUGAUCAUUGUGGUCGUUUUCAAUCCAGGCCAUUCUAUGAUUCUAUGAAUAUUUCUCCAUUUUCUUGUCUUCUACUAAGCUAGCAAAGACUGAGGCUGCUCAGCUCCUUGUUCUGUGCUGAGUUUGUCCCUGCAGUCAUGUAAGUUAGCAUAUUUGUGAGGAG
rnacentral:lncRNA from 1 species